GAUGAACGCUGGCGGCGUGCCUAAUACAUGCAAGUCGAGCGAACUGAUUAGAAGCUUGCUUCUAUGACGUUAGCGGCGGACGGGUGAGUAACACGUGGGCAACCUGCCUGUAAGACUGGGAUAACUUCGGGAAACCGAAGCUAAUACCGGAUAGGAUCUUCUCCUUCAUGGGAGAUGAUUGAAAGAUGGUUUCGGCUAUCACUUACAGAUGGGCCCGCGGUGCAUUAGCUAGUUGGUGAGGUAACGGCUCACCAAGGCAACGAUGCAUAGCCGACCUGAGAGGGUGAUCGGCCACACUGGGACUGAGACACGGCCCAGACUCCUACGGGAGGCAGCAGUAGGGAAUCUUCCGCAAUGGACGAAAGUCUGACGGAGCAACGCCGCGUGUGUGAUGAAGGCUUUCGGGUCGUAAAACUCUGUUGUUAGGGAAGAACAAGUACGAGAGUAACUGCUCGUACCUUGACGGUACCUAACCAGAAAGCCACGGCUAACUACGUGCCAGCCGCCGCGGUAAAAC
rnacentral:rRNA from 1 species